rnacentral:rRNA from 1 species
UGAAUACGAGACGCUAAGGCGUCGAAGUAGUGUAUGUCAUACUUCCAAGAAAAGCUUGCACUGUCAUAGAUAAAAAACGCCUGUACCAUAACCGACACAGGUGGGUAGGUAGAGUAUACUAAGGGGCGCGAGGUAACUCUCUCUAAGGAACUCGGCAAAAUAACUCCGUAACUUCGGGAGAAGGAGUGCCUUAUUCGUAAGGUUGCAAUAACAAGAUCCAAGCAACUGUUUAUCAAAAACACAGGUCUCCGCUAAGUCGUAAGACGAUGUAUGGGGGCUGACGCCUGCCCAGUGCCAGAAGGUUAAAGAAGUUGGUUAGCAAUUGCGAAGCUGAUAACUGAAGCCCUGGUGAACGGCGGCCGUAACAAUAACGGUCCUAAGGUAGCGAAAUUCCUUGUCGGGUAAGUUCCGACCCGCACGAAAGGCGUAAUGAUUUGGAUACUGUCUCGGAGAGGGGCUCGGUGAAAUAGACUUGUCUGUGAAGAUGCGGACUACCUGCACCAGGACAGAAAGACCCUAUGAAGCUUUACUGUAACUUGAAAUUGAAAUUGGACUUUAUUCGCGCAGCAUAGGUGGGAGGCGUUGAUUAUAAUCUUGCGGGAUUAUUGGAGCCAUCAGUGAGAUACCACUCUUGUAAUGUUAGAUUUCUAACUUUGAGUCAUUAUCUGGUCAAAGAACAGUUUCAGGCGGGCAGUUUGACUGGGGCGGUCGCCUCCUAAACGGUAACGGAGGCGUACAAAGGUUUCCUCUGAACGGUUAGAAAUCGUAUCUAGAGUGUAAAGGCAUAAGGAAGCUUGACUGUGAGACCUACAAGUCGAGCAGGGACGAAAGUCGGUCUUAGUGAUCUGACGGUACUGAGUGGAAAGGCCGUCACUCAACGGAUAAAAGUUACUCUAGGAUAACAGGCUGAUCUCCCCCAAGAGUUCACAUCGACGGGGAGGUUUGGCACCUCGAUGUCGGCUCAUCGCAUCCUGGGGCGGUAGUACGUCCCAAGGGUUGGGCUGUUCGCCCAUGAAAGCGGUACGCGAGCUGGGUUCAGAACGUCGUGAGACAGUUCGGUCCAUAUCCGGUGUAGGCGUUAGAAUAUUGAGAGGAGCCUUCUUUAGUACGAGAGGACCGAGAAGGACAUACCUCUGGUGUACCAGUUAUCGUGCCAACGGUAAACGCUGGGUAGCUAUGUAUGGAGUGGAUAACCGCUGAAAGCAUCUAAGUGGGAAGCCCACCUCAAGAUAAGUAUUCUCAUC